UCUCCGUUGGUGAACCAGCGGAGAGAUCAUUACAGAGUUGCAAAACUCCCAAACCAUUGUGAACGUUACCUAUCCCGUUGCUUCGGUGGGCGGCCCGGGCCCCGCGCCCGGCGCCCCCCGGCCCCCCGUGGGCGCCCGCCGGAGGUAAACCAAACCCUUGAAUUGCAUGGCCUCUCUGAGUCUUCUGUACUGAAUAAGUCAAAACUUUCAACAACGGAUCUCUUGGUUCUG
rnacentral:misc_RNA from 1 species